UACGGAGGGUGCAAACGUUGCUCGGAAUCAUUGGGCGUAAAGCGCACGUAGGCGGUUUUUCAAGUUGGAUGUGAAAGCCCUGGGCUCAACCCAGGAAGUGCAUUCAAAACUGUGAGACUUGAGUUCCGGAGGGGCCCAGAGAAUUCCCGGUGUAGAGGUGAAAUUCGUAGAUAUUCGCAAGAACACCAGUGGCGAAGGCGGCUCACUGGCUCGGUACUGACGCUGAGGUGCGAAAGCGUGGGGAGCAAACAGG
rnacentral:rRNA from 1 species